AGGCUUAUCAACAUUGCAAGCUGUGCUGGAUUCUGCUGCUGAAAAGAAAUGGCAAGUGACUGCUAUCAAUGUAGGAAAUAUUAACAAUGACAGAAAAGAUGAAACUUACCGUUCACUGUUUCAAGAUCUAGAGGUAAAAAAAGAAAGGCGAGUGAUUUUGGACUGUGAGCGCGAUAAAGUCAACGACAUUGUUGAUCAGGUUAUCACAAUUGGUAAACAUGUUAAAGGAUACCAUUAUAUCAUUGCAAAUCUGGGAUUUACUGAUGGAGAUUUAUCAAAAAUUCAGUUCGGAGGAGCUAACGUCUCAGGAUUUCAGAUAGUUGACUAUGAUGAUCCUCUGGUGUCAAAAUUUAUACAACGUUGGUCAACACUGGAGGAAAAAGAAUAUCCCGGUGCACACACUAGUACAAUUAAGGUAU